ACUCAAAUGAAUUGACGGGGACCCGCACAAGCGGUGGAGCAUGUGGAUUAAUUCGAUACUAACCGAAGAACCUUACCCAGGUUUGACAUCGAGGGUAAGCCUGUGAAAGCAGGCCCUCUCCCACAAGGAGACCCAAAGACAGAUGUUGCAUGGCUGUCGUCAGCUCGUGCCGUGAGGUGUACGGUUAAGUCCGCCAACGAGCGCAACCCCCGUCGUGUGUUACCAGCGAGUAAAGUCGGGAACUCACACGAGACCGCCGGUGUAAGCCGGAGGAAGGUGGGGAUGACGUCAAGUCAGCAUGGCUCUUACGCCUGGGGCUUCACACAUGCUACAAUGGGCGCAACAGAGGGCAGCAAUACCGCGAGGUGGAGCAAAUCCCAAAAAUACGCCCCCAGUUCAGAUUGCAGUCUGCAACUCGACUGCAUGAAGUCGGAAUCGCUAGUAAACGCAGGUCAGCUAUACUGCGUUGAAUACGUUCCCGGGUCUUGUACACACCGCCCGU
rnacentral:rRNA from 1 species